ensembl:snoRNA
GUUGAGGUCUCUACCAGUGAGGCUUCUCCUAUGGUUGUACAGCAUUGGAAUUGCCACAUAGAGUAACACUGGUCUUGUUUCAUUUGCAGAUCUGUUUCUUAGGACUGUGGUAGAGUUCUACAAAAAGGCA